GACGAACCGUGCGAACGUUGUUCGGAUUCACUGGGCUUAAAGGGCGCGUAGGCGGGUGACCAAGUCCGGGGUGAAAUCUUCCGGCCUAACCGGAAAAGUGCCUUGGAUACUGGUCGCCUGGAGGGAGGUAGGGGCACGCGGAACUUCCGGUGGAGCGGUGAAAUGCGUAGAUAUCGGAAGGAACGCCGGUGGCGAAAGCGGCGUGCUGGACCUCUUCUGACGCUGAGGCGCGAAAGCCAGGGGAGCAAACGGG
rnacentral:rRNA from 1 species